AUGUUACAAUGUUAAAGUGAAGAAAUUCAACCAAGCACGGGUAAACAAUUGGAGUAAUUAUGAAUCUCUUAAGGUAGUCAGAUGCCUAAUCAUCUAAUUAGUGACAUGUGUGAAU
rnacentral:ncRNA from 1 species